GAGUUUGCAUCUAACCAUCACCUCACCUAUAUAUGGAAUGUCCUUCGGGACUAUGGACAUAAACGCGCUCGUAAUAAGCGGAUCGGACCCGGGGGCGGUACCCGGCGGCUCCACCAACCAUCCUUCGUUUGGGGAUUUUGGGGCCGAAACAGGAUCGACGAACGUCUAAAGGGGUUAGCUUUGUCUCGGCUGUCUGCCACCGUUAUCGGCGAAACUAGUACAAUUGCAAACGACAAUCGUGCUCCGGUUGCAGUUGCUGCGUAAGCAGUAACAAGACCGAAAUCUAAGCCCUUGCGCCUAGCCGCGUAAGGCGGGGUUCGCAGGUACCUGGCAACAGAAACCUGCAUU
rnacentral:tmRNA from 6 species